GACGUAGGGCGCGAGCGUUGUCCGGAUUUAUUGGGCGUAAAGAGCUCGUAGGCGGCUUGUUGCGUCGGCUGUGAAAACCCAUGGCUCAACCGUGGGCUUGCAGCCGAUACGGGCAGGCUAGAGUUCGGUAGGGGAGACUGGAAUUCCUGGUGUAGCGGUGAAAUGCGCAGAUAUCAGGAGGAACACCGGUGGCGAAGGCGGGUCUCUGGGCCGAUACUGACGCUGAGGGGCGAAAGCGUGGGGAGCGAACAGG
rnacentral:rRNA from 1 species